rnacentral:lncRNA from 1 species
AUGGCUUUGAGAAACAUUGCUACUCUUGUUUUCUUUGUGGUGAUGGCCUUCAGUGGUGCUUAUUCUAGUUCUGUUUAUAGAGUUGGAGAUUCUGACGGGUGGACUUGAGAGGCCUUGUUGAUUACAACAAGUGGGCUUCAACAAAAGAUUUUCACGUUGGCCACACUCUCAUUUUUGCUUACAACAAUCAAUUCCACCACGUGAUUAAAGUUUCUGAUCAAGACUUUCAAUCUUGCAAUGCUACAUCUGCCAUCUCAUCUUAUACCUCUGGUUCGGACACAAUUACCCUUAAAAGGCCCGGCCAUUAUUACUUUCUUUGUGGUGCUCCUGGCCAUAUAUUGCCAAGCCGGACAAAAGGUUGACAUCAAGGUCUCUCUGCCUGUUCCAGAAAAUUUGAUCCCAAGUCCAAGCCUGUCGUCACCUUAUGGAUCCUCAUCACCUUCAGCCUCUAAUCCUGUAGAGAUGUCACCAAGCUCAACCCUAAGCAGUGCUCCAGCUAUUGGCUUGGCUUUUGCCACUGUUGUGUUGUUUCUUUUGGGUUUCGAAUU